UUGUUGCUAUUGCUACAAUGGCAACGGACGACGAGCAGCAUAUCAAACAGGGAGGCAACGCAGCAGCGCAACAUCAAGCCUCUACGACGGGCACAAAAAAAAUGGGGAAAAUGCUGCUUUGAGUAUAAAACGAGUCUUGUUGCUGUGCGUUCAAAUUGCAAGCUGUGUGGCAGAAAACAUUUCGUGGAAACGGCCGAGUAGCUGGAUGUGUGCGGAAUAAACCACGCUGUAUAUUCGGAGAGCCAACAAGCCGCUCAAUGUGUUCACGCUAAGCGCGAGGGCCAGAAAAUUUUGACAUUGGAGUAGAGCGGAAGCAGCAAACCAUAAUUCCACAAAAAUUAAGACAGUGAGCAAAGAUCACGAGUUUAAUCGAAAUUGGUUAUUUUCGAUGUGUAAUCUAAAAAAAAACGCUGGACGAAAAAUCAAGCAAAGUGCAAAAAUGGCUCAUAAAGUUGUCUACGUAAAGCUUACGUAAGUGCAAAAGGCACAACUGUAUAGUGUGAAAGAGUCAGCAUGACUGUCCAAUGAGCGGCAACAAACAGGGUGUUUCGGGCGACACUCAUGACGCGCAUAACAAGGUGAUGUCAAUAGCGAGUUGGCUCAAGCUCAAACACCCUGUUUAGCCAGAGAGAGAAAGAAUGAGAGCGUGCUAGGUGAGAGAUGACAACACCCACACUCAGGCAAUGACAAAGAUACAGGCAACACUCACGAGUCCGAGCAACAGCGAUAUUGCAGUACAUAAUGAAAUCGACAAAACUGAAAACUGAAAAUCAGAAACCAAACAGACGAGUAGCUGGCUACAACAGUGCCACGGUUACACUUUGUUUCGGCGGCGGCGGCGGCGACGACGACGCGGCAUACACCUUGCCUCACCUCACCUUACACUUGACUCACGCAUGCACACCAAUACACAUAAACAUGCAGUUAUGUACAUAUGUGUAUAUUCUUUGCAAGUGGUGGUGAAAUUGUAGUUUUUGCUGCUGUCAAAACGGAAACGAGAAGAAGCACAAAUACAAACAGACAGCACACAACGGCCAUAGAAAGCAACCAGACAGUUCGAGGUAAAAAAAAAAUAAAAAAAAAAGUGGAUGCAAGUUGCGGCGAUGCCAACGCCAUCUCACCAUGGCAAUGGCGUACAUAUGCAUACAUAUAUGUAUGCACAUACAUACAUACAUACAUUGGCCAGCAGAGAGCAUUGGUCUUUCCGCUCUUCGCAAUGGUCAAACACAUGUUGGAAUUUGAUCGGCCGCGAGAAAAGAGCAACUCAACAUUGAAUGGGGCUGACUGCAGCCAGCGUAGCGACGGCAGCGGCGGCGGCAGCGGCGAAGCGUCAAUAAAAAUCUGUAUACUUGUGCGAAUUGUGCGCUCAACAUGAUGAUUGUGGUGGUGGUGGAAAUGGAAACCUUGCAAUUAUCGAUUUCUUUUUCAUGCGCUCGCUUCUGUUGCUGCACUGCGCAGCGGGGGCGGAGUGAGAGCGCCAAAAGGCAACUUAACAUUAACAGUGAAAGAGCAUAAGCGAGAGACUGUCACCUGCCAGCUGCACAUGAACUGCAACAGCAACUGCUGCAAAUGCGUUAGUUAAUGCAAAUCGAGUGGACAGUUUUUAGACACACACACACUUAUGACAUGCGGCCAAAGUUCAAAGUUCACGAGCAGGCGCCUUGCACGCAGUUGCAUGGACGAGUAACGCCUACAAGAGCAGCGCCCGCGAGCCCAAUCUGGCGCAUACACCUACAAGUAAAACAAGUGCAAAAGGGACAACCACACUUGUGUGUGUGUGUGCGCGGGUGUGUGUGUGUGUGUGCUGAUAUCUUGGCAACGGCUCGCCGCACAAUGGGCCACACACGCAAGUUUAUUUGCCUUACUUCCAGGUACUGUCGAUGGUGUUUCUUUUAGCCGUAUAUGCCCUUUGCUGCCGUUUGCUAUUGCGCAACAAUAAAAACAUAUAUCGCAUGCACACACACACACGCACACAUGUAAAUAUCAGAAACGACAACAAUAACAGCAGCUGCAGCAGCAACCGAAACGCUUAACAGUUCGAGAACAACAGCAACAAUAACAGCAACAACAACUGUUAUUUUUAUGCCGAGUUGCAUUUUACAAGAAUUUCCGUGGUAUCAGAUAAUAGUUUACAAUUACGUGCAAAAUAAGCAAAAACGUGCAAAAUCAAAAACAAAAAACAUUGCAAAAGUGCAGCUAAAAAAAAAAAAAAAAAACCAAACAAGCUUUGAUAAGUUCCUAAAGAGCAAAAUGUAUAUGUAAAAUACUCUCUGUGUGGAAGAGGGUUCGUUGUUGUUUUUUGCUAAAGUAUAGACUAAAACUAAUUCAAGCUAAAUGUUGCUUGUAGAGCCUCAAAGAUUUGUAUGUAAGGGGCCUACUAUAUUUAAUGAAUGUUUAACAGUUUGUUAAUUAACAACAAUUUUUGACUAUGUAAAUUGAGAAAGACACGUUUUCUAAAACAUUCAAAGGGUUUGCAUUCGAGAGCAAUUUUUAUGCUUAUAAGUGAAAGAUAUAUAGACUAGAUAAAUGUAGCUUUUUUAAUGUUGCAAUAGAUUGCCAAAUUGUGCAUAUGUCAGACAUAAGCGUACAUCUAAAAUUCCAGUCCUUAUCAAAGAUAUGUAGGACAAAAGAACAACGCAGAAAAACAUUCCUUUGAAAAUAAGAACUUGUCAAAAAGACUGAAAAACUGUUUAGUUUUUAUAAAUGUUGCUUAGUUAAAGAACAUAUUUGUGUAAAGAUCUGAAAUAGUUGAUAGAUAUAAAUAUCCACAAAAGAUGGUUUAUAAGACAUUUAUUAAAAACAACAAAAAUGUAUCUAAGAAAGCACAGCUCAUUUACAGAAAAUCCUUACUUCAGAUGCUCAAGCGCUUUAUUAAAAUGCAACAAGCUUAAGAAAUAGUAAAAUUGUUUGUAAAUUCCAAGAAUUUCGCACAUGAUUUUCACAGUUGGGUUCAAGAUUUGCUCAGGCUUGGCCCUUGGCAAGAAAAAACAAACAAACAAUGUUGAGCCGAAGAAAAGUCGCUGUAAAUUCUAGAGUAUUUCUUGCAGGCGCUGCCCAAAGACAAAUCGCUUGAGCUAGUCGCUAUUUACAUAGAAGGUGACACAAAAUAAAUACUAAGGCUGCUGAGCACAGCUUAAUGCCGAAUUGUAAAUACACUUUAAUAGAUCCAAGACCCAAACAAAAUGUUAAAAGUCAAAGCAGAUUCUUCCUAUUGGAAAUAUAAACUUCAAAUUAACUUAAUUGAUAUUCUAAAUGUUUUGGAAAAGUUUCUAAAAUGCUUUGAAAAUGUCAAAAAAAAUAAUAAUGUUGCUCUACAAAUUGAAUACAUGUUCACAAGUUUUCUAAUAUUACAAAAAA